AAGCAUUGUGUGAUCACGCUGCUGGGUGGCAGGUUUAUUGAUGUAUUUCACCAACAGAAACCUUAGGAUGGGAUGCACUGGUCCAGCUGGUCAUUUGGCUGGUGGUUGUGAAGAUCCUGCCCCAGGGCUACCCCAGCACUUGGCCCUUUCAAGAACGGCUCGAUUAGGACAGUGUUCCUGCCUCAGUCUUUGCUAAAGUGGCCGCCUCCUAUGCAUCUUUCAUCACUCGUCUCAGGUGGCUGAUUCUUCAGAAGCCUUUGUCCCUCCUGCUGACACUGCAACAUAUCUGUCCUCAGCACGACUUGGUGCUCAAUUCAAAGGUCUAUGUCAGCACCCGCAUCCUGUGCUAGCUUCCUUGGACUGCUGUACUAAAGUACUACAAUUUGACGGCUUAAAGCAACAGACACUUGUUCUCUGCAGUUCUGCAGGCCAGAGCCCACAGUCAAGGUGUUGGCUGCACUCCCUCUGCAGACUCUAGGGGAGACUCCACUCCCUGUCUCUUCCAGCUGUGGGGGCUCCUGGCAUUCCUUGGCUUGGGGCUGCACCUGCAAUCUGCCUCAUCUUCCUGGCCAUCCCUGCUGUGUCUAUGUGCUGUUAUAAACUCUCUUUUAAGGAUUUAGGGCCACCCUAAUACAGGAUGAUAGGAGAAAGAAAUCAGCUCAAACAUCUCUCCACCGAGGGUGGCUGGGCUUCAUCAUUCAUCAGAAAAGAAGCAGGCACCUUCUCACCCAGUCGCCAGACCUUGUGUUUCUUUCUGGUGAGAUUUGUACAUGUUCUUUGAGCACAUUUGGUGACACAGAUCACCAUCCAGAGAUCCCCAGCCCUGUCCGUGUCGGCACGGCUGGUCUCUUCCCUGGGAUGGCUCCUGCCCUGGAUCCACUCUAGUUCAUGCUGUGCUUGAUGCAGAAACCCACUCACGCCAGCUGUGCUGCCUCAGCAUCUCCCAGGAGGAGACGGACACAUCCCAGGGGGCCUGCAGAAGGCCAGGCCUCAGGAACGACAGAAUCCAGCAUCCGUCUGCAUGGAUUGCAUGCCAUCCUCGAAUCCACUCACUAGCCCGGCCCCUGAACCAACUGAUGAAUGUGGUGAAGUCUUCCCUUCGUCACCCCAGGUGCAGCCACAGCGUCUGCAGCCACCCUGGGGGAGAGACAGCUCCAGGACCUGCUAAGGUGAGGUGUUCUGGAAGGGUCUCUGCUCCUAGCAGUCACUGGCAGCUUGCCCAAAUUGGAGAAGUUUAA
rnacentral:lncRNA from 1 species